GAUGAACGCUGGCGGCGUGCUUAACACAUGCAAGUCGAACGGAAAGGCCAAUGCUUGCACUGGUACUCGAGUGGCGAACGGGUGAGUAACACGUGGGUGAUCUGCCCUGUACUUCGGGAUAAGCUUGGGAAACUGGGUCUAAUACCGGAUAGGACAACUUUUUGGAUAUUGUUGUGGAAAGCUUUUGCGGUAUGGGAUGAGCUCGCGGCCUAUCAGCUUGUUGGUGGGGUAAUGGCCUACCAAGGCGUCGACGGGUAGCCGGCCUGAGAGGGUGUACGGCCACAUUGGGACUGAGAUACGGCCCAGACUCCUACGGGAGGCAGCAGUGGGGAAUAUUGCACAAUGGGCGCAAGCCUGAUGCAGCGACGCCGCGUGGGGGAUGAAGGCCUUCGGGUUGUAAACUCCUUUCGCUAGGGACGAAGCUUUUUUGUGACGGUACCUGGAGAAGAAGCACCGGCUAACUACGUG
rnacentral:rRNA from 1 species